GACCCGAAAGAUGGUGAAC
rnacentral:ncRNA from 3 species